GGGGAAUAUUGCGCAAUGGGGGUAACCCUGACGCAGCAACGCCGCGUGGGUGAUGAAGGUCUUCGGAUUGUAAAACCCUGUCUUUGGGGACGAUAAUGACGGUACCCAAGGAGGAAGCCACGGCUAACUACGUGCCAGCAGCCGCGGUAAUACGUAGGUGGCGAGCGUUGUCCGGAAUUACUGGGCGUAAAGAGUAUGUAGGCGGAUGCCUAAGUCAGAUGUGAAAUUCCCGGGCUUAACCUGGGCGCUGCAUUUGAAACUGGGCAUCUAGAGUGCAGGAGAGGAAAGUGGAAUUCCUAGUGUAGCGGUGAAAUGCGUAGAGAUUAGGAAGUACACCAGUGGCGAAGGCGACUUUCUGGACUGUAACUGACGCUGAGAUACGAAAGCGUGGGGAGCAAAC
rnacentral:rRNA from 1 species